CACCGCGGUUAUACGAGAGGCCCAAGUUGACAAAAUCGGCGUAAAGCGUGGUUAAUAUUUAUAGUAUUACUAAAGCCGAACACCUUCAAAACCGUCAUACGUAUAUGAAGACAGGAAGACCCCCAACGAAAGUAGCUUUAACCAAAGUGAACCCACGAAAGCUAGGGUA
rnacentral:rRNA from 1 species